CCUACGGGGUGCAGCAGUGGGGAAUAUUGGGCAAUGGGCGCAAGCCUGACCCAGCAACGCCGCGUGAAGGAAGAAGGCUUUCGGGUUGUAAACUUCUUUUCUGAGGGACGAAGAACGUGACGGUCGCGCAGGAAUAAGCCACGGCUAACGACGUGCCAGCAGCCGCGGUAAGACGUAGGUGGCAAGGUUUAUCCGGAUUGAUUGGGUGUAAAGGGCGUGUAGGCGGGAAAGCAAGUCAGAGUUGAAACCGGAGGGCUCCACCCUGAGCCUGGGUUUGAAACUGUUUUUCUUUAUUGCUGGAGAGGCAAUCGGAAUUCCGUGUGUAGCGGUGAAAUGCGUAGAUAUACGGAGGAACACCCGUGGCGGCGGCGGAUUGCUGGACAGUAACUGACGCUGAGGCGCGAAAGCGUGGGGAGCAAACAGGAGUAGAUACCCGAGUAGUC
rnacentral:rRNA from 1 species